GUAAUUUAAUGUAUGUGGUGGAUGCCUUGACUUGAAAAGGCGAUGAAGGACGUAGCAAUCUGCGAUAAGCCUCGGGGAGCUGGUAAGCAAGCUUUGAUCCGGGGAUUUCCGAAUGGGGAAACCCGAUCGCGUGAAGCGCGAUCGCCGUCCCAAUGCCGAUUUUGAUUCCGACGUUAAGUUUGGUUACCGGCCGAAGUUGCAAUUUCGGCAAGGGACUGAAUUUAAAAAUCGGUAUCAAUAUCGGCACGGGGACGGUGCAUACCCGCUGAAGUGAAACAUCUCAGUAAGCGGAGGAAAAGAAAUUAAUAAGAUUCCCCUAGUAGUGGCGAACGAACGGGGAGCAGUCUAAACUAUUUUAAGUGUUUGCGAGAGAAGUACACUUUUAGUGUAUGGAUCUAGCAUUAAAGGUGUAAGCCGUUGCUUAACUUAGGGUUGCAAGACCUUGAUAUUUCUAUUGCUUAUACAAUAGAAGAUGAGUUACAAAAAGUAAUUUCCCUAGAGGAACAGCUCUGGAAAGAGCGACCAAAGAAGGUGACAGUCCUGUACGCGAAAGGGAUUACACUUAUACUUCAAGUGUUCUUAAGUAGGGCAAGACACGUGAAAUCUUGUCUGAAUCCGGGUCGACUAUGACCCAAGACUAAAUACUUUUCAAGAUCGAUAGUGAACUAGUACCGUGAGGGAAAGGUUAAAAGUAUCCCGGUGAGGGAGAUGAAAUAGUAUCUGAAACCACAUACUUACAAAGAAUGGGAGUCCCGAUGUUAAGUCGGGAUGACCGUGUGCCUAUUGAAGAAUGAGCCAACGAGUUUGUGUAUGUUACUUGUCUAAUUCCCCGUAGGGAGAUAGGCAAAGGGAAACCAAGUCUUAACCGGCGCAUAUCUUUUAAUAUUAUUAACUCAAUGCUUUCGAGUUAAUGAUAUUGAAAGAAAAGGUAGCAUAUAUAAGACCCGAAACCAAGUGAGCUAGCCAUGACCAGGAUGAGCCCAGAGUAAUAUCUGGAGGAGGUCCGAACCCUUGCGCCGUGCAACACGCUGGGAUGAGUUGUGGUUAGAGGUGAAAUUUCAAUCGAACUUGGUAAUAGCUGGUUCUCCUCGAAAUAGCUUUCGGGCUAGCGUCGAUAAAAUAAUUUACUAGGGGUAGAGCACUGGAUGGGGUUGAAGCCUUCGGGUAUUCUCUCCAAUCAAACUCCGAAUACUAGUAAAUCUUUCCGGCAGUCAGACCGUGGGGGCUAAGCUUCACUGGUCUAAAGGGAAACAGCCCAGAUCUCAAUCUAAGGUCCCUAAAUUUACGUUAAGUGUUAAAGGUUGUGGAUUUUCUCAUACAACUAGGAGGUUGGCUUAGAAGCAGCCAUCCUUUAAAGAAAGCGUAACAGCUCACUAGUCAAGAAUUUCCGCGCCGAAAAUUUAUCGGGGCUUAAACGUAGUACCGAAGAUGAGGCCCUUCACAUAUUUUUGUGAUAAAAAUUUUUAUCACAAAAAUAUGUGAAGGGGGUAGAGGAGCAUUUUUAGGUCGUUGAAGCAUAUGGUGUGAGCCAGUGUGGAGGCCUAGGAAGCGAGAAUGUUGGCAUAAGUAGCAAAAAGGCAGGUGAGAAUCCUGCCCACCGAAAACCUAAGGUUUCCUGGGCAAUGAUUGUCAACCCAGGGUUAGGCAGGCCUAACCGCGGCGGCGAAAGGCGUCGUGGGAUGGAAGAACAGGUUAAUAUUCCUGUCCUGCUUUAGAUUUAUCUCCAAGAUGACGUACUAGAGUGAAUAAGCGUCAUAUGACUAUGGCGUUUUUCAAUGGCGUAAGCCAUUGGGAUAGAAGUGAAACCUCCGGGUGGAUCGAAUUUAUGUAAUUUAGUACCAAGAAAAGUUUUGGUGUUAUGAUUUAAAGCAUCUGUACCGUAAACCGACACAGGUGGGUGAGGCGAGAAGCCUAAGGUGUACGAGAUAACCCUUUAUUCAGGAACUCGGCAAAUAAGCGGGCGUAACUUCGGGAUAAGCCCUCCCGUUCAGAGCGCAAGCUUUUGAGCGGGCGCAGCGAAAGACUCCAAACGACUGUUUACCAAAAACACAGGUCUCUGCUUAAGUCGUAAGACUAUAUAUAGAGGCUGAUGCCUGGCCAGUGUCAGAACGUUAAGGUGAGAAGUGCAAGCUUUGAUCCUAAGCGCUGAUGAACGCCGGCGAUAACUAUAAUCGUCCUAAGGUAGCGAAAUUCCUUGUCGGGUGAGUUCCGACCUGCACGAAUGGCAUAACGAUUUGGAGACUGUCUUAAUAAGGGGCUCGGCGAAAUUGCAGUGGCGGUAAAGAUGCCGCCUAUUCACAGUUAGACGAAAAGACCCCGUGAAGCUUUACUAUAACUUGAUAUUGGUAUAUGAAUUGUUCAUGUUCAGUAUAGGUGGGAGUCCUGACGCAAGUCGGGACGUCAGUGAAAUACCACUCUUGGCAUUUUAUAUAUCUAACUCCCCGAUUAAUCGGGGAAGACAGUAUCUGGCGGGUAGUUUGAGUGGGGCGCUCGCCUCCUAAAAAGUAACGGAGGCGUUUAAAGGUUGGCUAACUUCGGAUGGAAAUCGAAGUCAUAGGGCAAACCCAUAAGCCAGCUUUACUGCAAGACCUACAAGUCGCGCAGUUGCGAAAGCAUAAGUUAGUGAACCGACCACCUCAUAUAGGAGAGUGGAAGAUCAACGAAUAAAAGCUACUCCGGGGAUAACAGGCUAGUCGCGCCCAAGCGUCCAUAGCGACGGCGCGGUUCGGCACCUCGAUGUCGGCCCAUCGCAUCCUGGGGGUGAACAAGCUCCCAAGGGUUUGGCUGUUCGCCAAUUAAAGCGGUACGCGAGCUGGGUUCAAAACGUCGUAAGACAGUUUGGUCUCCUAUCUACUGUGAGCGUAUUAAAUCUUGAAGGACCCCUUCUCUAGUACGAGAGGACCGAGAAGGACGAACCUCUGGUGCACCAGUUGUCAUGUCAAUGGCAUCGCUGGGUAGCUAAGUUCGGGUUAGAUAAGCGCUGAAAGCAUAUAAGCGCGAAGCUGUUCCUAAGAUUAGGAUUUUAUGGCCACCUGGCAGACUACCAGGUUGAUAGGUAAUCGGGUGUAAGUCUCGUAAGAGAUUCAGCCUAGAUUGUACUAAUUGGCCUUU
rnacentral:rRNA from 1 species